UUCCCCGCAUGUUAUGGGUAGCUGCCACUGUGUGGUGAAAAAGAAGUUUCUGAAUCUGAUGCUUUCCAACGAGAAAGAUGCAGGGAUUCUGUCUAUAAGAAUUAUUCGUUUCCAGAGGUGCUAAUUAGCAGCGAGGAGACAAAGAUGAGCAGCAAGGAAGAAAAGCAAACGUCCUGGAUAAUCCACAAACCGGAUGAUCUUUUUCUUGAAUAAUCAAGACAUUAUAGGCUGGAUUUUGCUACUCUCUUCUGGGCUAAAUGAUGGCUUGGUUCAGUGUGAGACAUUCCAAGGUGCAAAUCGUAUCGUGGAUAUCCAAGCUGUCUAUCUGAGCAUUCUUUCGGUGAGAAGCAGAGGUUACCGUCACUAUUUGGACAGAAAUAAAAUGUGUUUGACUAA